AGCCACCCAGGCAUCACUUUUAUUUUUUAUUUUUUUAAAAACAACUACAGCUCUUCUUUCAGAGCACUGGACAUGUGGUUAUAUAACCCUCAUCUGUCAUGCCCAGAGCAUUUUUUAUUCAAAAUAAAAUAAUGGGCAACUUCAGUGAUGUCUGGAUAGCUCCUUAACCCUCCAGGUUCUAAGUACAGCAUACCAUGAUCAUCCUUUACUUUCUUGCCCUAAGGAAAUGAAAAUCCGUAUUAACAGACAGAUCUCUGGUCUCUGAAUUUUUUGAGAUAACGAGGAACAUUACUUCUUUUAACCCACACCAUUUUUAUCAGAUCUUCGUCAGAUUAAUAUAUCCUCUGAUCGAUAAGAACAUCAGUAACUUAAAUAAAUCCACGCUACACUCAUUCAUUCACUCAGCAAACAUUUAUUGAGUUUCACCAGUUUGGGGUCCCGAGGUGAGCAAGACCAGUAUGGUCACUACCCUUAAGCAGUUUGUGAUUGAAUCAGGAAGAUCUGAGAAAGCCAGUGUCUGAAAAUUAAUGAGGUAGUGCUAUAGUGGGGAUUCAGGAAAUCUUGUGGAGCAGCCUCCCUGAACUGACCCCCAGGCUCAGAGAAGCUUCCCUAAGGAGCUCCUGGUUGGUCUGAAUCUUAAAGGCUGAGUAAAAGUCAGAGUACUCGUACUAUGAAAUCCAAGUAGAGCAAAUUUAAUCUGGCCAGAUGCUUCGUUUCUUCCAGUACACAUUUUCAGACUUGCAACAACCACCCAGAUACUAAUUGUUACCAUUGCCUCGCUGCACGAUGUCUUCAAAUAGUUCCAGAGUGAUCCACAAUGCCUGUGGCAGUCUCUCUGGUCCACUAUCACUGGAUGUUCAUCUCUUACUUCUAGCAAUUGAAGGAUACCAAAAACAAGCUUAUGUUUAAUUUAGAGAAGCUCUGAGUUUUGAAGAAGAGGAAACCGUAGCUCAUCUGCCGAUGUCAAGAACACGUCCACUUUGUUUGAAGGCUGGUUGAAAAAAAAAAAAUGGUGAUUUCUUCUUUGUGCCAGACACUUCACCAAAGACCAACAUUCCAUUCGGAUAACCUUUUAUUGUCAGUUUUUCAUGCUUCUUGGGGUAAAAGUCACACUGUAUGAUGCAAUGUGAUAAAACUAAAAAGGAACAAAGUA